rnacentral:sRNA from 12 species
GGUCCCCACUAAGGCAGCGUUAAAACACUAUGCCAACGUGGGGGAAGGCUCAUCUCACGAUCUUGCUGUUCCUUCUACUUCCGGUGCCGGGCAUCGGUCUGCUCGAGUUAGGCACACUGCGCUGCCGCUCGGGGCCGAUGUUACGGGGACGA